AUAAUAUUGGAUUCACAAGAAUCUUAAUACAACGAUCCAUCAAUUGAUCUCAGUUAGAAUUACAUUUAAGAAUGGCCCAAUAAAAAAUGCGAAUAAACCCUCUCCUUGCAACCAUUACACCUCAAAAACGGCUGUAAAUCAUGUAACUUUCGAUGUGUUUAGGCCACAUAUAUAUCUAGUUUAGUUAUCACUGACUCGAGGAAAGUCCUGAUUAACGGCGACUUUUCCUUGGGAUUUUAAUUGCACUUUUCACCGAUCUAAAUAAAUUAGCCACUUUAAUGAGAGUUGUUAUUAUUCAGGACACGUUAAUAAUGACUUUAAUGGGUCUUUGGAUGCUGUGACUGAACGCUUUCUCGGCAACAACUUUUUUUUUUGCUGGCUUUCCGUGAUAAGAAUAGUUGAACACGUUCAAUUAUUCAAGAAAUGCAUCCGGCGCAGUUUAGCUCUCGGAAGUUCUUGUCAAUAGCUUUUCUCUUUUGAAGAAAGAACAAAAAAAAAAUCAUCGACGCUCUUCUCCCAUCGCUUUUAUUUUCCAGUUGGAAUGGAUUUGAGUUAGAUUUUGGAUUGUGUGAAAUGGCACUUCAGGAAUAACCCAAUAUUCUUUAAACGGUGGCAAAAAAAAAGUAUAUUAAAAAAUCUCCCCAAAUAGCCUUUCAGGGAUUAAGCACAGUUGCCACGUUAAUAAGGUUGAGUUGUGAUAUGAUAAUAAAUGAUAAUAAAUGAAUUGCAAAGGUAAAUCCUCAUUGCAUAAUGUUUAUUUCGAAUGAUCUAUGAACAAAAAUAACUCUGUUGUGACCCGUUUUAUAAUUGCCAGCCGGGGUUUUGUGGGAACGAAUUUGUUCGAUUAACAAGCGCGCCGAGAAAUGCCUGCCCCCCUUCAACAUGGGAACAAUGUAAGAUCGCCUUAAUCGUCUCAUUGACUACUGUUUAUCUGUGCUGAAGAAAGCGGCGUGUCAACAGAACUCGCGAAAGGCAGGACGCUGUGGAGUUGUAAUAAUUUAUUGGGACCAGAGGUGGCGCCACGGUCCCGAAAAACCUGAUCAAACUUCUCCCCACCAGCCAGCAAGGAAGGCAAUGUCAACCGAUGCCCCCUCCAAGAAUCACAACAUGAGGAGCGCACCUCCCCCAAGUUAUGCUUCAUUCGUUUACUGGACUGGUUCUUAAAACAAAAACCGCCAGAGACCCCGGAUCGAUCCCGACUAUGGGUGCUGUCUGUACUGAGUUUGUACGCUCUACCCAUGACCGUGUGAGUUUUCCCCGAGAUCUUAGGUUUCCUCCCACACUCCAAAGAUGUACAGCUGAAGACUGCAUUUCCCUGAAGGGAAGAAGACCAGCAAAAGGAAAGAAGCAAAACACAUUUGAUUUUUGAUCAGCCUUUAUUGGAAAAUAAACUUUAAAAUAGUUAAGCAAUAUUGAUUUUGAUGAAAAAAUAUAUAUUUUUAUUAGAAGCAAACACAUAUUAUAAACAUUUCAUGUAUAUCAGUCAUAUAUUAUUAAUAUUGUCAAUUUUGAUUUUGAUCAUUACCAUCAUAUAAUAAAUGCAUCAACUGGGGAACGAAGAAUGUCACUUGGAAUGGCUGUAGUCAAAGCAUGAAUAACAAAAAAUAGAAUAAUAACAAGUCUCUACUGCAUUAAAGUAAAUAAACAAUAGGGAAGUGAAUCUAAGACUGUAAAGUGAUCUUAUUGGUCUGAGGACAUCACAAAGGGAAACACUUUCUGAAUAUCCUGGAUAUCAUUUAUUCUUUUUAAAGCCCAAAGUGAUGGGGGAACUCAACAGGUAAAGCGGCAUCGGUGGAAGGAAUGGAUAAGCAAAAAUGAACAAGCCUGCCUUGACCUAUGUGAUGGCAGACACAAAAUGCUGGAGUAACUCAGCGGGACUGGCAGCAUCUCUGGAGAGAAGGAAUGGGGGACGUUUCGGGUCGAGACCCACUCGAUCUCCUGAUCUGCCAAACACUUUAACUCUCCUUCACAUUUUCACACUGAACUUCCUGUCCUGGGCCUCAUCCACUGUCAGAGUGAGGCCCAAUGCAAAUUGAACAGCACCUCAUGUUUUGCUCGAUGCUGCUAACAAACCUGCGGUGUGAAUAUUGAUUUCGCUACUUUCAAGUAAUCGUUGCAUUCCCUCUCUCUCCUCCCCUCCCUUAUAAGUUUCACUGUCAUCCGUCUUAGUUCACUGUUUGUAUCUGCUUGUUAGCAGCUUUUCCGCAGCCCACAAUGGACCAUUGUGGGCUCCACAUUUCCUUGAUCUUCGGUGCUGGCUUUGAUUUAUUCUUCCCAUACCUUUCAUUCAUUUGUUCUUUUUACCUUUUCAUACCUCUAGUUUCCCUCUUCCCCUGACUCUCAAUCUGAAGAAGGGUCUCGACCCGAAAUGUCACAAAAUGUCUCCUUUUCUCCAGCGAUGCUGCCUGACUCCUGAGUUACUCCAGCAUUUUGUGUCCAUCUUUAACAGCCUCUCAUUAUACGGACCUCGCUCUGAAUGUUGUCCAUUGUGGCCAGGUAUCAGUCAUGGAGAUGUCUAGCCUAAGUGCAGUUAUCCGUCAAAUUGAAUGUGCAUUGAAAAACUACGACAGAUACUGAAAUUCUGGAGACAUUCAACAGGUCAAAUGGCAUCGUUGGACAGAGAAAUGGAUGAUGUUGAAGAUCUUCACCUGAACAUUGUUUACACAUUGUGCCAAGCUAGAAAUGAAAGUUGAAAGAUACACAUAAUAUUAAGGUAGAAGCUCUGGUGGCAACCUUUGUACUAACAAAAGUGUACUUUGCCAUAUUUAUCUGAAAAAACAGAAUGCACGGCGCGUAACGGUAGAGCUACUGCCUUACAGCACCAGAGACCCGGGUUUGACCCUGUAAACGGGUGCUGUCCGUACGGAGUUUGUACAUUCUCCCUGUGACCUGCGUGGGUUUUCUCCGAGAUCUUCGGUUUCCUCCCACAUUCCAAAGACGUACAGG